rnacentral:tRNA from 1 species
GGUUCUAUAGUAUAGCGCAAAGUACUGGGGANUCUAAAUCCCUUGACCUGGGUUCGAAUCCCAGUAGGACCUCCA